rnacentral:rRNA from 1 species
UACGUAGGGGGCGAGCGUUGUCCGGAAUGAUUGGGCGUAAAGGGCGCGCAGGCGGCCUGUCAAGUCAGUAGUGGAAGUCCAUUUUUCAAGGAUGGAAGUGCUAUAGAAACUGAUGGGCUUGAGUGCAGGAGAGGUUAUCGGAAUUCCCGGUGUAGCGGUGAAAUGCGUAGAGAUCGGGAGGAACACCAGUGGCGAAGGCGGGUAACUGGACUGCAACUGACGCUGAGGCGCGAAAGUGUGGGGAGCAAACAGGAUUAGAUA